rnacentral:rRNA from 1 species
GAUGAACGCUGGCGGCGUGCCUAAUACAUGCAAGUCGAGCGAACGGACGAGAAGCUUGCUUCUCUGAUGUUAGCGGCGGACGGGUGAGUAACACGUGGAUAACCUACCUAUAAGACUGGGAUAACUUCGGGAAACCGGAGCUAAUACCGUAUAAUAUUUUGAACCGCAUGGUUCAAAAGUGAAAGACGGUCUUGCUGUCACUUAUAGAUGGAUCCGCGCUGCAUUAGCUAGUUGGUAAGGUAACGGCUUACCAAGGCAACGAUGCAUAGCCGACCUGAGAGGGUGAUCGGCCACACUGGAAGUGAGACACGGUCCAGACUCCUACGGGAGGCAGCAGUAGGGAAUCUUCCGCAAUGGGCGAAAGCCUGACGGAGCAACGCCGCGUGAGUGAUGAAGGUCUUCGGAUCGUAAAACUCUGUUAUUAGGGAAGAACAUAUGUGUAAGUAACUGUGCACAUCUUGACGGUACCUAAUAAGAAAGCCACGGCUAACUACGUG